CUUAGUAGAAACGCAACGUUGGUUAGACGCUUUGUCGUCUUGGUGGUGGACAAAGUCUACAACUACUCCAUAUUCUUGACUUGUACCUCAUGGAGGAAAUAUAAUGCAGGAGCCUCUUGUCCUGGAAGGCCACCGUCGCUUCACUGACAGGAGGGGUGAGCAGUGGAGUGUUUCAAUCUAGAAUCUGACCAUCAGACAUCACUAAACAUUCCCAUUUCUACACACUGAUCCUUUUAAAGAAAACGAUAAUAAAACAUUGUUUUUUCAUCCACCCCCCUCAGGCACAUUACAGCACCAUGGAGCCACGGUUAACACAGUUACAUCAGCAGCGGCCUGGCUAACAAACUAAGCAUCUGUUCUCCCUCCCUAUUCUCUGCCUCUAAUGUCGUUAAGCCCGAUCCAAGACACUAUGUUACCAUUGACUGCAGAGUAAUGAUGCAUAGCUACUGAUCCUUCCAACACUUUCUGUCUUUAUGAGACCACUGGGUUGCUCCCACCUCUCAGAUAAGCCCCUUUUUUUCAAACCAGUGGGUUUCAAACCACCUAACACCAAAAAGCUGGUGUAAUUAAGUAUUGAUCACAGACAGCAGGUCAAGUAUUCAAUAACAGAGCUGCUUAAUUGCAAGGCAUUUGUCUCAGAGAAAAACUAAUGAACAUCUGUCA